AGUGAACGCUGGCGGUAGGCCUAACACAUGCAAGUCGAACGGCAGCACAGUAAGAGCUUGCUCUUACGGGUGGCGAGUGGCGGACGGGUGAGGAAUACAUCGGAAUCUACUUUUUCGUGGGGGUUAACGUAGGGAAACUUACGCUAAUACCGCAUACGACCUACGGGUGAAAGCAGGGGAUCUUCGGACCUUGCGCGAUUGAAUGAGCCGAUGUCGGAUUAGCUAGUUGGCGGGGUAAAGGCCCACCAAGGCGACGAUCCGUAGCUGGUCUGAGAGGAUGAUCAGCCACACUGGAACUGAGACACGGUCCAGACUCCUACGGGAGGCAGCAGUGGGGAAUAUUGGACAAUGGGCGCAAGCCUGAUCCAGCCAUACCGCGUGGGUGAAGAAGGCGUUCGGGUUGUAAAGCCCUUUUGUUGGGAAAGAAAAGCAGCAGGUUAAUACCCCGCUGUUCUGACGGUACCCAAAGAAUAAGCACCGGCUAACUUCGUG
rnacentral:rRNA from 1 species